AUUGAACGCUGGCGGCAGGCCUAACACAUGCAAGUCGAGCGGAUGAAGGGAGCUUGCUCCUGGAUUCAGCGGCGGACGGGUGAGUAAUGCCUAGGAAUCUGCCUGGUAGUGGGGGAUAACGUCCGGAAACGGGCGCUAAUACCGCAUACGUCCUGAGGGAGAAAGUGGAGGAUCUUCGGACCUCACGCUAUCAGAUGAGCCUAGGUCGGAUUAGCUAGUUGGUGGGGUAAAGGCCUACCAAGGCGACGAUCCGUAACUGGUCUGAGAGGAUGAUCAGUCACACUGGAACUGAGACACGGUCCAGACUCCUACGGGAGGCAGCAGUGGGGAAUAUUGGACAAAGGGCGAAAGCCUGAUCCAGCCAUGCCGCGUGUGUGAAGAAGGUCUUCGGAUUGUAAAGCACUUUAAGUUGGGAGGAAGGGCAGUAAGUUAAUACCUUGCUGUUUUGACGUUACCAACAGAAUAAGCACCGGCUAACUUCGUG
rnacentral:rRNA from 1 species